UGGAAUCACAAAUACUGGGAAAAAAGGUUGGGAGCCUUCCAACUGUUCAUCAAAAUCAACAUAUUCAUGGUAUGUCUUCCAGCAGCGUAGAAAGAAAAUCCUGGAAAACAAACAAAACACCACAAAUAGUGUGUUUAUGAAGAGAAGGCCACACCUACCCUGACAAAAUUCUCAGUCUUGCUGUGAAUCACACCAUGGAGUAAAUUCUUCAAAGAGAAGGAAGACAGAAUUUCUUUCAUGGAUUAAGAAGGAAAGUGCUAUGACAGUGGAACAACAUUACUAUCAUCUUCACUUAUAACAGUAUGAUAAGACCUCUUUAUAGAAAGUUCCACUUGGCAU